rnacentral:snRNA from 1 species
AAGUGUCAUGGCUCUUUUAGAAUUUGUACAGCAGGUUUUCUGGUUUUUGCUGGAAAGCCCCCCC